rnacentral:rRNA from 1 species
GACGAACGCUGGCGGCGUGCUUAACACAUGCAAGUCGAACGGUGACGCUGGAGCUUGCUCCAGCUGAUCAGUGGCGAACGGGUGAGUAACACGUGAGCAACCUGCCCUUGACUCUGGGAUAACCCCGGGAAACCGGAGCUAACACCGGAUACGAGCCGCACAGGCAUCUGCGCGGUUGGAAAGUUUUUCGGUCAAGGAUGGGCUCGCGGCCUAUCAGCUGGUUGGUGGGGUAACGGCCCACCAAGGCGACGACGGGUAGCCGGCCUGAGAGGGCGACCGGCCACACUGGGACUGAGACACGGCCCAGACUCCUACGGGAGGCAGCAGUGGGGAAUAUUGCACAAUGGGCGAAAGCCUGAGGCAGCGACGCCGCGUGAGGGAUGAAGGCCUUCGGGUUGUAAACCUCUUUCAGCAGGGAAGAAGCGAAAGUGACGGUACCUGCAGAAGAAGCACCGGCUAACUACGUGCCAGCAGCCGCCGUAA